GGCAGUGUGGCUUAGUGGAAAGAACACAGGAGUCAGAGGAUCUGGGUUCUAAUCCCAGCAAUGCCA
rfam:Ornithorhynchus anatinus chromosome 4, whole genome shotgun sequence.